CUAAUCUCGUUGGUUGAGGCAAUAUUGGUCAAAUUAACUGUGACAUUGGUAACUAUUAAACAAACAAAUUGGUUAUCUAACAACUAAUAUCAUUGGUUAAGAACAAAUUGGUUGAUUUAACAAAGAUAUUGGUUAACUUUAAUAACAGAUUGGUUGAAAAAUGACUAAUAUCAUUGGUUAAGCAAAUGUUAACCAAGAGAUUGGUAACUGACGCAGGUCUGACGCUCAACGUCAAGUACGUAACUCUGCUUCUCAAUUUUCUGACAAAGCCGCCAUCUUGGUGCUGCAGGAAAGCCGUUUGAGAUAUUGGUGAAAUUCAAACACUUUGUGAGAUGACAGAAUAUUGCUGAAGGAUCCUACAUGGAAGCUGGCUGAUUACACGGAGUGAUUCCUCUGGUGUGGUGUACCUCAGAGAAAUAAACACUGUUGCAAGAGCUGAGAAGAUGGCCAAGAUAUCCUUAUUGCUGGAUGGUAGCUCUGGUCGUAGUGGACCAUAUCUGCAAAUGCUUCUGAACAUUGACAGAAUUUCUAAAGGAUCGCUGAGGACUCCCCCUCCAUGCGUGACAUCUUUGAGAAAUUUUCACGCUUUCUGGAGAUGCCAAGUUUGGUACGUCUGCCAGACAUUU